rnacentral:rRNA from 1 species
GGAGGUUGGCUUAGAAGCAGCCAUCCUUGAAAGAGUGCGUAAUAGCUCACUGGUCGAGUGGUUCUGCGCCGAUAAUGUAGCGGGGCUUAAGUACACCGCCGAAACCGCGGCAACACACGUAAGGUGUGUUGGGUAGGGGAGCGUCGUGCAUGUGUUGAAGCUACUUGGUGACAGGUGGUGGAGUGUGUGCGAGUGAGAAUGCAGGCAUGAGUAACGAUUGAUGUGUGAGAAACAUAUCCGCCGGAUGACUAAGGGUUCCUGGGUGAAGUUUGUCUUCCCAGGGUGAGUCGGGGCCUAAGGCGAGGCCGACAGGCGUAGUCGAUGGAUGACGGGUUGAUAUUCCCGUACCCGUGUGCGUGCGACAAGUGAUGAAUCUUAUGGUACUAACCGCCCGCUUGUUUCCGCUGAUCUUUUUGGUUGGUGGUUUCAGGUGCGUGGGAUCUUCGUGGGUAGUAGUCAAGUGAUGGGGUGACGCAGAGUGGUAGCUAGGCUUCCUUAUUGGAUUGGAGUGCAAGCGUGUGGCCUGUGGGGUUGGGAAAUCCGCCCCGCAUUAAGGGUGAGGCGUGAUGCGGACACCAUGUUGUGGUGGUAGUUAGUGUGCCUGUGCUGUCUAGAAAAGCCUCUAGCGAGUGCGUGCAUGGCCCGUACCGGAAACCGACACAGGUGGUCAGGUAGAGAAUACUAAGGCGUUCGGGUGAACUGUGGUUAAGGAACUCGGCAAAAUGCCCCCGUAACUUCGGGAGAAGGGGGACCAUUACUAGUUGCUGACAGCAUGAUGGCUGGUGGUGGUCGCAGAGGAGAGAGGGAAGCGACUGUUUAUUAAAAACACAGGUCCGUGCGAAAACGUGGAAGUUGAGGUAUACGGACUGACGCCUGCCCGGUGCUGGAAGGUUAAGAGGACCCGUGAGUGCGCCUUUGUGGUGUGCGAGGCGGAGAAUUGAAGCCCCAGUAAACGGCGGUGGUAACUAUAACCAUCCUAAGGUAGCGAAAUUCCUUGUCGGGUAAGUUCCGACCUGCACGAAUGGCGUAACGACUUCCCUGCUGUCUCAACCACAGGCCCGGUGAAAUUGCAGUACGAGUAAAGAUGCUCGUUUCGCGCGGCAGGACGAAAAGACCCCGGGACCUUUACUAUAGCUUGGUAUUGGUGUUUGGUCAUGCUUGUGUAGGAUAGGUGGGAGACUGUGAAGCUUCAACGCUAGUUGUGGUGGAGUCGCAGGUGAAAUACCACUCUGGUGUGAUUGGGUACCUGAACCUUGGCCCGUGAUCCGGGUUGGGGACAGUGCCUGGUGGGUAGUUUAACUGGGGCGGUUGCCUCCUAAAUGGUAACGGAGGCGCCCAAAGGUUUCCUCAGUCUGGUUGGCAAUCAGAUGGUGAGUGUAAGUGUAUAAGGGAGCUUGACUGUGACACUGACGGGUGGAGCAGGUGCGAAAGCAGGGACUAGUGAUCCGGCACCGACGUGUGGUUGUGGUGUCGCUCAACGGAUAAAAGGUACCCCGGGGAUAACAGGCUGAUCUUCCCCAAGAGUUCAUAUCGACGGGAUGGUUUGGCACCUCGAUGUCGGCUCGUCGCAUCCUGGGGCUGGAGUAGGUCCCAAGGGUUGGGCUGUUCGCCCAUUAAAGCGGCACGCGAGCUGGGUUUAGAACGUCGUGAGACAGUUCGGUCUCUAUCCGCCGCGCGCGU